CUUGUUUUAUGUGGGAGUGUCUUGGACCUGAGAGCCAAUGUAAUCGUGUGUGUUUGCUGUAGUCUACUCCCAGGUCCAGUGGGUAAUGCCCCUGGAAAAUGUAACUGGAAACCACUUGAAUGGGGACUUGCAUAUAAGGCCAGUUGUGGCCGCCAUUAAACAGUACGUCUUACUCCUUCAUGAAGUCUAGGCUCGUGUUUGGGAGCUAUAUUCACACUCUGG